rnacentral:sRNA from 1 species
CACUUUUAUACUUCCCUUCGUUUGCAUGUGUUACUUCUUCAGCCUAGGUCUUUCCCCUUCCAUUCGUUCUUCAAAACCCAGGCAAAACACCUCUUCCUCUGAGCAGCCUUCUCAGAACUUUUCUCCCAUGUGGCCAGAGGAGGGAGAGACUUCUGUCUAUCUCUUCUGCUAGACCCCAAACUCUUUGGAGGCAGAGGUUAUCCACAAGAGGCUUGGCAAAUGUUUCUCAGUCAUAGUUGGACUGUUUGAAAAAUUAAAGGUUCUAUUUGUCCAUCAGUUUCAUCCGUGACAUUUAACUUUUUAUACCAAAGUCUUAGAAUCUACCAUCAUUUUUUGGGCCAUUGAUACCACUUUAACCACAGUUAAUUUCAGCUUUUGGCAGGAAAGAGAGGAAACAUCCUGUGAUGUUUCAGCACUGCAUUUUUUCCCCCAUCUCAUUCAGGAGAAUGAAGUUUCUAGAUUAGAAGACAUAAUGCAGCAUUUAAAAUCAAAGAAGCGGGAAGAAAGGUGGAUGAGAGCAUCCAAGCGGCAGUCGGAGAAAGAAAUGGAAGAACUGCAUCAUAAUAUUGAUGAUCUUUUGCAAGAGAAGAAAAGCUUAGAGUGUGAAGUAGAAGAAUUACAUAGAACUGUCCAGAAACGUCAACAGCAAAAGGACUUCAUUGAUGGAAAUGUUGAGAGUCUUAUGACUGAACUAGAAAUAGAAAAAUCACUCAAACAUCAUGAAGAUAUUGUAGAUGAAAUUGAGUGCAUUGAGAAGACUCUUCUGAAACGUCGCUCAGAGCUCAGGGAAGCUGACCGACUCCUGGCAGAGGCUGAGAGUGAACUUUCAUGCACUAAAGAAAAGACAAAAAAUGCUGUUGAAAAGUUCACUGAUGCCAAGAGAAGUUUAUUGCAAACUGAGUCAGAUGCUGAGGAAUUAGAAAGGAGAGCUCAGGAAACUGCUGUUAACCUCGUCAAAGCUGAUCAGCAGCUAAGAUCGCUCCAGGCUGAUGCAAAGGAUUUGGAGCAGCACAAAAUCAAGCAAGAAGAAAUCUUGAAAGAAAUAAACAAAAUUGUAGCAGCAAAAGACUCAGACUUCCAAUGUUUAAGCAAGAAGAAGGAAAAACUGACAGAAGAGCUUCAGAAACUACAGAAAGACAUAGAGAUGGCAGAACGCAAUGAGGAUCACCACCUGCAGGUCCUUAAAGAAUCUGAGGUGCUUCUUCAGGCCAAAAGAGCCGAGCUGGAAAAGCUGAAAAGCCAGGUGACAAGUCAGCAGCAGGAGAUGGCUGUCUUGGACAGGCAGUUAGGGCAUAAAAAGGAGGAGCUGCAUCUACUCCAAGGAAGCAUGGUCCAGGCAAAAGCUGACCUCCAGGAAGCUCUGAGACUGGGAGAGACUGAAGUAACUGAGAAGUGCAAUCACAUUAGGGAAGUAAAAUCUCUUCUGGAAGAACUGAGUUUUCAGAAAGGAGAACUAAAUGUUCAGAUUAGUGAAAGAAAAACUCAACUUACACUUAUAAAGCAGGAAAUUGAAAAAGAGGAAGAAAAUCUUCAGGUUGUUUUAAGGCAGAUGUCUAAACAUAAAACCGAACUAAAGAAUAUUCUGGACAUGUUGCAACUUGAAAACCAUGAGCUACAAGGUUUGAAGCUACAACAUGACCAGAGGGUAUCUGAAUUAGAGAAGACUCAGGUGGCAGUGCUAGAGGAGAAACUGGAGUUAGAGAAUUUGCAGCAGAUAUCCCACCAGCAGAAAGGGGAAAUAGAGUGGCAGAAGCAGCUCCUCGAGAGGGAUAAACGAGAAAUAGAACAAAUGACUGCUGAGUCCCGAGCUUUACAAUCAUGUGUUGAGUGUUUGAGCAAAGAAAAGGAAGAUCUCCAAGAGAAAUGUGACAUUUGGGAAAAAAAGUUGGCACAAACCAAAAGGGUUUUAGCAGCAGCAGAAGAAAAUAGCAAAAUGGAGCAAUCAAACUUAGAAAAGUUGGAAUUGAAUGUCAGAAAACUGCAGCAGGAACUAGACCAACUAAACAGAGACAAGUUGUCACUGCAUAACGACAUUUCAGCAAUGCAACAGCAGCUCCAAGAAAAACGAGAAGCAGUAAACUCACUGCAGGAGGAACUAGCUAAUGUCCAAGACCAUUUGAACCUAGCAAAACAGGACCUGCUUCACACCACCAAGCAUCAGGAUGUAUUGCUCAGUGAGCAGACCCGACUCCAGAAGGACAUCAGUGAAUGGGCAAAUAGGUUUGAAGACUGUCAGAAAGAAGAGGAGACAAAACAACAACAACUUCAAGUGCUUCAGAAUGAGAUUGAAGAAAACAAGCUCAAACUAGUCCAACAAGAAAUGAUGUUUCAGAGACUCCAGAGAGAGAGAGAAAGUGAAGAAAGCAAAUUAGAAACCAGUAAAGUGACACUGAAGGAGCAACAGCACCAGCUGGAAAAGGAAUUAACAGACCAGAAAAGCAAACUGGACCAAGUGCUCUCAAAGGUGCUGGCAGCUGAAGAGCGUGUUAGGACUCUGCAGGAAGAGGAGAGGUGGGGUGAGAGCCUGGAGAAGACACUCUCCCAAACUAAACGGCAGCUUUCAGAAAGGGAGCAGCAAUUGGUGGAGAAAUCAGGUGAGCUGUUGGCCCUCCAGAAAGAGGCAGAUUCUAUGAGGGCAGACUUCAGCCUUCUGCGGAACCAGUUCUUGACAGAAAGAAAGAAAGCUGAGAAGCAGGUGGCCAGCCUGAAGGAAGCACUUAAGAUCCAGCGGAGCCAGCUGGAGAAAAACCUUCUUGAGCAAAAACAGGAGAACAGCUGCAUGCAAAAGGAAAUGGCAACAAUUGAACUGGUAGCCCAGGACAACCAUGAGCGGGCCAGGCGCCUGAUGAAGGAGCUCAACCAGAUGCAGUAUGAGUACACGGAGCUCAAGAAACAGAUGGCAAACCAAAAAGAUUUGGAGAGAAGACAAAUGGAAAUCAGUGAUGCAAUGAGGACACUUAAAUCUGAGGUGAAGGAUGAAAUAAGAACCAGCUUGAAGAAUCUUAAUCAGUUUCUUCCAGAACUACCAGCAGAUCUAGAAGCUAUUUUGGAAAGAAAAGAAAACCUAGAAGGAGAAUUGGAAAGCUUGAAAGAGAACCUUCCAUUUACCAUGAAUGAGGGACCUUUUGAAGAAAAACUGAACUUUUCCCAAGUUCACAUAAUGGAUGAACACUGGCGUGGAGAAGCACUCCGGGAGAAACUGCGUCACCGGGAAGACCGACUCAAGGCCCAACUCCGACACUGUAUGUCCAAGCAAGCAGAAGUAUUAAUUAAAGGAAAGCGGCAGACAGAGGGCACUUUACACAGUUUGAGGAGACAAGUAGAUGCUUUAGGGGAAUUGGUCACCAGCACCUCUGCAGAUUCAGCGUCAUCACCCAGUCUGUCUCAGCUGGAGUCUUCCCUCACAGAGGACUCUCAACUUGGACAAAAUCAGGAAAAGAAUGCCUCAGCCAGAUGAGGAAUACUGUCUUGUGUAAAUAUAUUCAAGGAAAACACCUCCACUACCUCACUGACUUCAUAAUUGGAAUGUCACAUGGUUUUUUUAAUCAAGAUGCAGUGAACUGAGAUUCUGAAACUCCACUGUAUAGUUUACUUUGCCUGUACCAUUAAUGCCAAUGUUUUUAUAAAUCACUUGUACAUAGUACGUAUGGGAAUAGUUGCAUAUGGGAAUUUAAACCAACAUGUGGCUGAGCCUUUUUUUUUUAAUCUUCGUAACAUGUUUUUUUAAAAAAACCAGUGAUUUUAACUGCAUAUUUGAACCUACAAACUGGUAAAUCUUAUUAACAAAAAGAAUGUACUUAAGGCCCUCUUUAUUUAUAGUGUCGCGUUAUUUUUGAAUUUUGCUUAAAAUCUAUUUUUCAUAUGAAAAUAAAAGAUAACAAUCAA